rnacentral:rRNA from 1 species
AACGAACGCUGGCGGCAUGCCUAACACAUGCAAGUCGAACGAGACCUUCGGGUCUAGUGGCGCACGGGUGCGUAACGCGUGGGAAACUGCCUUUAGGUUCGGAAUAACUCAGAGAAAUUUGAGCUAAUACCGGAUGAUGUCUUCGGACCAAAGAUUUAUCGCCUUUAGAUGGGCCCGCGUUGGAUUAGCUAGUUGGUGGGGUAAAGGCCUACCAAGGCGACGAUCCAUAGCUGGUCUGAGAGGAUGAUCAGCCACACUGGGACUGAGACACGGCCCAGACUCCUACGGGAGGCAGCAGUGGGGAAUAUUGGACAAUGGGCGAAAGCCUGAUCCAGCAAUGCCGCGUGAGUGAUGAAGGCCUUAGGGUUGUAAAGCUCUUUUACCCGAGAUGAUAAUGACAGUAUCGGGAGAAUAAGCUCCGGCUAACUCCGUG